GAUGAGGGUAAGAUAUGAAACAGAAUAAAGAAGUUAAUAUGGAGCAGUAAUAUAUAUGUUUUAUUGGUAUUCAUUGACUUACAACAUGUAUAUCUUUUCUUCUUUUA
rnacentral:ribozyme from 1 species